rnacentral:tRNA from 1 species
UUAGUAGUAGUUUAAUUAAGAAUUUAGACUUUGGGAGUUUAAGGUGUUUAUAAAGACCUUCUAGU